CGACCGGCGCACGGGUGCGUAACGCGUAUGCAACCUACCCAUAACAGGGGGAUAACACUGAGAAAUUGGUACUAAUACCCCAUAACAUCAGGACCGGCAUCGGUUCUGGUUGAAAACUCCGGUGGUUAUGGAUGGGCAUGCGUUGUAUUAGCUGGUUGGUGAGGUAACGGCUCACCAAGGCGACGAUACAUAGGGGGACUGAGAGGUUAACCCCCCACACUGGUACUGAGACACGGACCAG
rnacentral:rRNA from 1 species